AUUGAACGCUAGCGGGAUGCUUUACACAUGCAAGUCGAACGAGUGGCGGACGGGUGAGUAAUAUAUCGGAACGUGCCCAGUCGCGGGGGAUCACUACUCGAAAGAGUGGCUAAUAACGAAUACUCUUGUAGCGGCCGAUUUCGGAUUAGUUAGUUGGUGGGGUAAAGGCUCACAAAGGCAACGAUCCGUAGCCGGGUUGAGAGGACGACCGUCCACACUGGGACGAAGACACGGCCCAGCCUCCUACGGGAGGCAGCAGUGGGGAAUUUGGGACAAUGGGGGAAACCCUGAGCCAGCCAUCCCGCGUGGAGGAGCAGGCCUUGGGGUUGUAAAGUACUUUUGGCGGAGAAGCGGUAUCUGCAGAAUAAGCACCGGCUAACUACGUGCCAGCAGCCGCGGUAAUUC
rnacentral:rRNA from 1 species